GAUGAAGAACGCAGCGAAAUGCGAAAAGUAAUGUGAAUUGCAGAAUUCAGUGAAUCAUCGAAUCUUUGAACGCACAUUGCGCCCCCUGGUAUUCCGGGGGGCAUGCCUGUCCGAGCGUCAUUGCUGCCCUCAAGCACGGCUUGUGUGUUGGGCCCCGUCCUCCGAUCCCGGGGGACGGGCCCGAAAGGCAGCGGCGGCACCGCGUCCGGUCCUCGAGCGUAUGGGGCUUUGUCACCCGCUCUGUAGGCCCGGCCGGCGCUUGCCGAUCAACCCAAAUUUUUAUCCAGGUUGACCUCGGAUCAGGUAGGGAUACCCGCUGAACUUAAGCAUAUCAAUAAGCGGAGGA
rnacentral:misc_RNA from 1 species